rnacentral:tRNA from 1 species
GAGCCGGUGGCGCAGUUGGUUAGCGCGUAUGCUUUACACGCAUAAGGUCCUCGGUUCAAGUCCGGGUCGGCUCA